rnacentral:rRNA from 1 species
GGGGAAUAUUGCGCAAUGGGGGAAACCCUGACGCAGCAAUACCGCGUGAGUGAAGAAGGUUUUCGGAUCGUAAAGCUCUGUUAUUGGGGAAGAAAAAAAGACGGUACCCAAGAAGAAAGUCCCGGCUAACUACGUGCCAGCAGCCGCGGUAAUACGUAGGGAGCAAGCGUUAUCCGGAUUUACUGGGUGUAAAGGGCGCGUAGGCGGGAGUAUAAGUCAGAUGUGAAAUCUGGGGGCUCAACCCCCAAACUGCAUUUGAAACUGUAUUUCUUGAGUGAUGGAGAGGCAAGUGGAAUUCCUAGUGUAGCGGUGAAAUGCGUAGAUAUUAGGAGGAACACCAGUGGCGAAGGCGACUUGCUGGACAUUAACUGACGCUGAGGCGCGAAAGCGUGGGGAGCAAACA